rnacentral:sRNA from 1 species
AAGCUUCGACUAAGGUUCGAUUCGAGCGCAGCGAGAAAGCGUUGCCGCAGGCAACGACCCGAAGGGUGAGAGCGGAGCGACGAAUAAUCCUUCCCCCACCACCA